GGGGAGACGAAGAGUGGUGGAGGAGGAGGAUGCAAGAAUAUGAGAAGUCUGAUAAAGUUUAUAUUAUAACAAUUAUUAAAUAUAUUAACCGAAAUAAAUGAAAAAUAAGAUAAUUUAAAAUGAAAUUAAAUGAGGUGGUAUGUCCAAGUAAGGUGUUACAUCAUGUUGUAUGAAAAUGUGGUAUACAAAAUGUGGUAAGAAUAACAUUACUCUUUAACCUAAGGUAUAUGCUCACCGCCUUUUUUAAUACAUGACCCGUGUCCAUAGACUUAAUUAUGGUUAACGUUUUACUUUAAUUUAUGUAAUCAUAGUUAUGCUUAUGGACACGUGUUAAUUAUUGAGAAGGUGGUGAACAUACACCUUGGAUUAAAGUGGGAAGCACUCAUUUGAGGAACUCUCUAUAAAAUUUAAACUUCAAUCAUACUCCCUAAAUUAAAGAGUCAUAACUAAUAUAUUUAUUUUUUAAUUUAAAAUUAAUCCAUUUCUAUAUAUAUCAUUAAUUAAAAGUUUAAAACAUACAUAAAACGAAGUAUCAAUAAAUUAUAGGGGGCCACCUGAUACCCACCCACCAAAUACCACGACUACUGCCCUCUUCCCCUCCUAACCUCCAGCCUUAUCUCUCUCUCUCUCUCAAAUGGUAACAUUGGAGAAGGAAAGCGGCUCGACGUCGCUUAUCUUUAUGAAGACUAGGAGGAGAGACUUUGGCAGCGAGUCGAAGCGGUCGUUGUCCGUGGGCAAUGGUUCUGGGUACCCUAAAGAAGGUGAUAUAUGGGCCAAUAGACGCCAUCUUUCUUAUGGGUUUGUUUAUUGGUGUGGGUCUGAUUAAAAUGAAUUAGAUUAGGGAUAGAUGGGACGGUCCCAUGAACAUGUUAUGGGCUAUAGCCCAGGGGACAUUUUUUUUUUUUGUGGACUAAAUUAAUACUCUAGCCUAGGCAAUUAGUCGGCUGACAAGAAGAAAGAACAUAGAGGAAGAAGAAAGAAAGAAAAAGGAACAAUAAUAAAGAGAGAAAGAGAGGAGGAAAAAUAAUUUUUUAAAAAAAAAUAGAGGGGGAGAUGCUAAACAAUUGGAAAGAAAGAGAGAGAGAGAGAACAAAAAAAAGGGGAGAAAAGUGGAAAUAGAAUAAAGAAACGGAUGUGUGCAUUGGGGAUGAGAUAUGUGUUUUUAUUUUAUUUUUACUUCAAUUCCUUCUAAAUAUUUUCUAUACAUGUGUAGUUCUCCUCUGUUUUUUUUCUUCUUUGUUUCCCUUCAAUCCCUUUCAAAAAUUUCAACAAUCUUAUCAAUAAUUCCAAGAUUUUUGUCUGUUUCAAAUGUCAGUAUAAUAAUAAUAAAGUUCUAAAUAUGAUGAAGAAAAUAUAUUGAAAUAAGAGGGCUUAUUAUUAUUAUUUUUGGUAAUAAACAAGGGCUUAUAAUUUACCCCAAAAAAAAAAAAUUUAGUCCACAAAUUUAGCCCAUGCUAUUUUCAAAUUCUGAGUCCGUCCCUUGAAAACUCUGAUUUUGUUUGAAAGAGCGUUUGAAGGUUUUGAAGCAACUUUACAGGUUUUGUUUAAUAUAAUUGAGAGAGAGGGAGAGAGAGAGGACGAAAGGAGGAGGAGGUGGAGGGUACAGGUGGUUUCUGUCAGUCUGGGGUGGAGUGGGCAGCUAUGUGGGGAUGAUUGUUUGGGUUCUUUACUCUGUUUUUUUUUUGUUUUUUUUUGUUUUUUGUUUUUAAGUUGUGUUUUUGUUUUUGUUUUAAAGUAUUAUUGUGUUGAUAAUAACGGCGUCGAUGAAUCUAGGAUAUGCCUUCAAAUUGACAGAUUUAAGAAAUUGGACUCGGUGACCAAAUUUGAUUUCGAGCCAAAUUUCAGUAACAAAAAAUGUAAUUAACUCAAAAAUAAAGGAAAAGUUUUGCUCAAACAACAAUAUAAUCUUCCAAUUCAUCCAUGCACCUCUCUCACUCGAAAGGAGAGAAACCCUAGCCUCUAAAACUCCACAGAGGGUGGAGGAAGAAGCGUUAUUGCCCCUCAUCCCCUCCUCUCUCCUCACUUUUUUCUUUUGAGUUAGUGAAUAAGUCCACUUAGGACGUUUUGAAUAAAAAGCCCCUUGCAGUGAUUUCUUCUAAGCAAUGCUCAGAUUGAAGUUCCCUGUCACCACUUUUAGGCAUUCUCAAACAAAUCCUUCUCCCAAAACACGCUUUAUAAUACUGCUAAUGUUCUCUAAAUUUGGGUCUACAUCAUCUUUGACAGAGGUUGCUUCAAAUCGCCCAAUUAUUUUUUUUUUGUCAAGGUGAGUGUUUUCAUUUAUUGGUUCGCUCUUAUACGCAGGUAGAUUGUUGGAAACCAUGUUUUUCCCAAAUCUAAUACAAAUGCAAUGGUGGGUGUGGCUGUGACGUUGCUUAUUCAGAUGGUGGUGGUAGGGUUCGCUUAGGAGCAUGGGUUGGUUUAAGGUUUCGGUUAUGUUGGGUAUGUGAACUCUGUUUGGACUUAUGGUUAAUUAUGGUGAUGUGAGUUAGUAGUUUUAGUGGGUCUUACCCGAUACGACAAGAAAACUUGAGCUGGACUCACAGAAUUAAUGACAUAGCUCAUCUUGAUUAUUGGCCUUGAAUUUUAUCAUGCCUUUCAAUAUGUUGGGACUAAUAGAAGUUAUGUUAGCUUAAGUAGGAUUAGUAGCUGCUACUUAGUCUAUAA
rnacentral:lncRNA from 1 species